rnacentral:lncRNA from 1 species
AACGACUUCAUGCAGAUGGUGUGGAGGAAGUGGCUGCACAACUUCUACCACUUCUUCGAAAGAAAGAUAUGACCCUGUCUAGGAGGAGGGAUGUUGUAAUGAUAUUGUCCAGUUUACGUUACAAAGCCCUACUGAACUAUGAGUGUCCUGUUAUUCUUGCAGAAACUCUGAAGAUUUGUCCCUCCCACCUUAGUAGAACAGUCGAACUGCCAAGCCUCAACACUGAUGAGAGAAUCAAUGUGAUAGGGGAAACUUGAGAUAAAGAAGACAUGUCAACGCUAGAAGAGGGUCAGUGGCUAAAUGAUAAAGUUGUGAAUGCCUUUUUGGCCUUAUUGAAAGUGGAAAAAAAAACAGAGGAGAUACCCAUGUAAUUGUCCUCCCUAGCUACGUUGCUGUGCUUUGGCAAGCUGGCAACUAUGAUAGUUGGUUGUUUCUAAAGAUCUCUUUCUGUAUGUUCAGUUGUAUUCUGCUGCAAAUUUGUGAUAAUGGUCACUGGAUUCUCAUGGUUGUGUCACCGUCUGAAAGGAUUGUAAGGGUGUAUGAUUCUCUUCAUGGAGACCAUCAAAAAUACUUCAGUCACUGGCUGUCCUUCAUGCGUCUCCGAAACAAAGCUAGUGUGGAGAAGCUUGAAAACUGGCAGUUCGUCAGUGGUUGCUCUAGCAAACAAGAAGAUAGUAACAACUGUGGCAAUUUUGUCCUAAUGGCUAGUAUGUAAAUGAUAUCAGGAUAGUUCAUUUGUGGGGAUCUUUGUGUGUACAACUUUGUCUAUGAUGACAAUUCAAUAAUUUUUAGCUUGUCUGAUUU